UGGGGAAUUUUGGACAAUGGGCGCAAGCCUGAUCCAGCCAUGCCGCGUGCGGGAAGAAGGCCUUCGGGUUGUAAACCGCUUUUGUCAGGGAAGAAAUCUUCUGAGUUAAUACCUCGGGAGGAUGACGGUACCUGAAGAAUAAGCACCGGCUAACUACGUGCCAGCAGCCGCGGUAAUACGUAGGGUGCAAGCGUUAAUCGGAAUUACUGGGCGUAAGCGUGCGCAGGCGGUUUUGUAAGACAGAGGUGAAAUCCCCGGGCUCAACCUGGGAACUGCCUUUGUGACUGCAAGGCUUGAGUGCGGCANAGGGGGAUGGAAUUCCGCGUGUAGCAGUGAAAUGCGUAGAUAUGCGGAGGAACACCGAUGGCGAAGGCAAUCCCCUGGGCCUGCACUGACGCUCAUGCACGAAAGCGUGGGGAGCAAACAGGAUUAGAUACCCUGGUAGUCC
rnacentral:rRNA from 1 species